CUUGGAGACUCCUACGGGAGGCAGCAGUGGGGAAUAUUGCGCAAUGGGGGCAACCCUGACGCAGCCAUGCCGCGUGAAUGAGGAAGGCCUUCGGGUUGUAAAGUUCUUUCGGUAGCGAGGAAGGCAUUUAGUUUAAUAGACUGAGUGAUUGACGUUAACUACAGAAGAAGCACCGGCUAACUCCGUGCCAGCAGCCGCGGUAAUACGGAGGGUGCGAGCGUUGAUCGGAAUAACUGGGCGUAAAGGGCACGCAGGCGGACUUUUAAGUGCGGUGUGAAAGCCCCGGGCUUAACCUGGGAAUUGCAUUUCAGACUGGGAGUCUAGAGUACUUUAGUGAGGGGUAGAAUUCCACGUGUAGCGGUGAAAUGCGUAGAGAUGUGGAGGAAUACCGAAGGCGAAGGCAGCCCCUUGGGAAUGUACUGACGCUCAUGUGCGAAAGCGUGGGGAGCAAACAGGAUUAGAAACCCCGGUAGUCC
rnacentral:rRNA from 1 species